CAGCCGUAAACUAUGCGCGUUAGGUGUAUCGGUGACCACGAGUUACCGAGGUGCCGAAGGGAAACCGUGAAACGUGCCGCCUGGGAAGUACGGUCGCAAGGCUGAAACUUAAAGGAAUUGGCGGGGGAGCACCACAACAGGUGGAGCCUGCGGUUUAAUUGGACUCAACGCCGGGAAGCUCACCGGAUAGGACAGCAGAAUGAUUGCCGGGCUGAAGACCCUGCAUGACUAGCUGAGAGGAGGUGCAUGGCGUCAGUGA
rnacentral:rRNA from 1 species